rnacentral:lncRNA from 1 species
CAGUGACUUAGACCGCUGCGCCACUCGGGAGCUCUGUAUUGUAUGUAUUGAUCAGACAUUUAUUUAAUAAUUUACGAUCGGCCAGCAUAGCCAAAAUAUUGAUCAACAUGAACACAUGAGAAAUAAAGGUGAGAAAUAAAGGUGAGAAAUAAAGGUGAGACAUAAAGGUGAGACAUAAAGGUGAGACAUAAAGGUGAGACAUAAAGGUGAGACAUAAAGGUGAGACAUAAAGGUGAGACAUAAAGGUGAGACAUCAUUUGACAGAAAACUAAUUUAGAGCCAUAAGUCAUAAUCUAACCCUAACCCUGCCGCCCUACAGUGUUCAGGACCCCAUUGAUUCAUACAGUUUGUAACGCUCAUCUCCUGUCUGAAUGGCUUGGAAGAAAAAUAAUACAAAGUAACAAAAUGUGAUGUCGUAUCACGUAAAAGUGAAUUACUUAGACUUUAGGAAAUGUAACCAACUAAGAGAUUGAUGGGAGAGGAGGGGAGGUAGACAAGCUUCAGUCACCCACUAGUGAAUUACUUAGGCUUUAGGAAAUGUAACCAACUAAGAGAUUGAUGGGAGAGGAGGGG